UUGAGGAAUUUUCCGCAAUGGGCGAAAGCCUGACGGAGCAAUGCCGCGUGAAGGAUGAAGGCCUAUGGGUUGUAAACUUCUUUUCUCAGAAAAGAAUUAUGACGGUAUCUGAGGAAUAAGCAUCGGCUAACUCUGUGCCAGCAGCCGCGGUAAGACAGAGGAUGCAAGCGUUAUCCGGAAUGAUUGGGCGUAAAGCGUCUGUAGGUUGUUUAAAAAGUAUUCUGUCAAAGAUUAGGGCUUAACUCUAGAUAGGCAGAAUAAACUUUUAAGCUAGAGUUUGGUAGAGGCAGAGGGAAUUCCCGGUGGAGCGGUGAAAUGCGUAGAUAUCGGGAGGAACACCAAAGGCGAAGGCACUCUGCUGGGCCAAUACUAACACUGAGAGACGAAAGCGAGGGGAGCAAAUGGGAUUAGAUACCCGAGUAGUCC
rnacentral:rRNA from 1 species